UUAUGAGUGUUUUAUCUGUUUAAAAAUCAAAAAGAAUUGAUCUUAAUAUUAUCUGAAGACAUGUUAUAACCGAGAAAAAAUAUUGACGACGUUUGCCGUUCAUGUGUGUACCUCAAAGCAUGCUCUUUAAUAUCAGUUUCAGACAGACAGAAUCACUUUACACAAGAGGUCGAAGGAAAUGGAACUAGUAAUUUACAUCUUUUGUAUAAUGGUCGCUUUCAUGUUUUCCGGACGGCCAGCUCUACAGACAGAGAAAUCUGUUCUUGAGCUAUUUCCAGAUUACGUUAGUUUGAAACAAGACUAUCAAGAUUUGAAACAAUACUAUCAGGAUAUGAAGGCUGAAUUAGCAGCCUUUAAAUCGAAGCAGAAUGAAAAAGGUACUACAUACAUCAGAUGGUCAAGAAAACGAUGUCCUAAUAAUGGAUAUACGGAGCUUGUGUACUCAGGGUAUGCAGGCGGUGGAAGGUUUGAUCAGCAAGGCUCAGCACCAGAAUCAGUCUGUCUACCAUCAGACCCUGAUUUUGUCAAAACGAGUGGUGGUGAUGGUUUUGGUGGUGGUGGUCGUAUGUAUGGAACAAAAUUUAAUAGUAAUUUAUUUGCCUCAAAUAGUAAUUUUCAGGACGUACCAUGUGCUGUAUGUAGAGUGAAAAAGGCAUCCAGUGUCAUAAUGAUUCCAGGGAAGAACAGGUGCUACACAGGUUGGAACAUGGAGUACCAUGGAUAUCUGGCUUCAAGUAAAGACGGUCAUCAGGCAGCUGGAUCAUAUGUUUGUAUUGAUAUUCAACCUGAAUAUGUGAGUGGUGGCUCAUCGUUCACCGGCCGAAGUAAACUACUUUAUGAUGUACUUGCUAAAUGUGGAUCCCUUCGUUGUCCACCGUACAAACAGGAUUAUCCACUAACAUGUGUUGUUUGUUCGAAAUAAUUGUUAGUUUUUAAAAUAAAGGAUAGAUCAUGAUACAUUAAAUCAAACAAAAUGUUAUUGAAUAUUUCUAAAUGUUUUGUAGACUCUCUUUUGGUGUGAGUAAUUAUCGGUUUAACUUCUAACGUCAUUAAUUCUGCAGCUUAAAUGUGUCAAGUAAAUCAGUUAAUUUCUCUUUAUGCAUAUAGAAGAAGUUUUUAUAAGACUCGAAAUAAUCUUUUACAUUCUCGUAAAGAGAUGUUGGAAAGAUGCAUUCUUCUCUUCACAAUGGAUUCCUGGUAAGAAGGUCUGGGUUGGAUUUCUCGAAUAGAGAAUAAUGGGCAAAAAGGUGCAGAAUAAAGGGUAAAAAAAUAUGGAAUAGAAAACAAGUAAGGAAUAAAUAAAGAAUAGAGACCAAAAAUGGCAAAAUAAAUAAAAAAAAGAGAAAAACUAUCUAAAAAAAGAAUAAAGAAAUGAAGGACCCCCAUCUAGACCCUCUGGUAAAUGAAAUAGAAUCUUAUACAUUGACAUCAAUUUUGAACCAUCAAAAGACAUCUCGAGGUAUGUAUGUGGUCGUCAAUGAGUCAUAUUGUUAUUUAUGCAUAAAUGAUAUGUCAUUAAUAUAUUUAUAGUAGAGUUUAAAUCCCAGUGCUCUGUUUGAUAAAAAUAGUUCUCAUCAGUUUUCAUGGUCAUAGAAUCGGACAUGCAUGUUUCUUGAUAAAAACUGUUUUCAUAGACCGGAUACGGUAAAGUUAUAGGAGUGAAUACACUUUAUAGUAUAACACUUGUUGUAAGCUUCCAACCAAAAACCCUUUUUGGUUUUGAAGCUAUUCUUGCCUCGACAUGUAAUCUCGUAUUUGGAUGUAAAAUUAGUGUCCCCUGUAAAAGCCUGUGUCAUUGAUAACCAACACCCAGCGCGUUUCGUGGAAACAAGUGAAUAUCACAUUUUAAGCAAGAAGCGCGGAAUAUAACUGAACAUUUGAAUAAACCCAAUUAAAGCGACCACAUUGAUUUGACAUCGCUUUAAGUUCAGCUUAGUUCAUCUAAAGGGUGUUGGUGGAGUCGAGCUGAUUUCGUUUUUAUAGAAACAAAUUUGGUUUCUUUUUCUUAUUUUUAUUGAUUAUUGUAUCUUUCAUUUAUUUGUUUUACUUUUCUAUUUACUAACCCUAUUAGAUCUUCAAUUUUCAUUUUGAAUAAUCAGUUUUGUCAUUUUAUUUUGUUUGAUAGUAGAAAACUUUUAAAAAGAUGACGUGUUGAGAGUGACACAUUAUUUUUGAAUUAUAUUUUAUAUUCAAAACUAUCUAAUUAAUAUGUAGAUUUCUAUUACAGUUUAUUAACGUGUACAUAUACAAUGUAUUUCAUAGUAUGAUCUCGAACUUCACAAUGUAUUUAUGUCCGAAAUAUCUUUUUACACUUGAAACCUGUUAGAUUAUACAUUUAUAUUUGUCAAUACGUAUGGUCAAGAUUGAACUUAAAUCUUACGAUUAUUCAAAAUUUCUAUUUGAUCAAUUAUCGUUAUGUUUAAUAAAUACGCGUGUAAAUAAUUCUCUUUGAUAAACGGAAUCAAUCCGUUAUCUAAUUUUGUUGACAAAAUGACCAUUGCAAACUUUGUUGUUAAGAACGUUAUUUGGUAUUUAAAGAAAGUUAGAUUAUUAUUCGGGGGCUCCGUUUGGAUAUGCCAACGAGAGCAAAUGAACUGCGUUAAGAUUUUCCGACGCAAACAUGUAUUUUCUUUGGUUUAAAAUUACUGAUUUGUAAUACUGUUUCAUUUUAUAUUUUGACUCUAUAUAUUAUAAGAAUUUAGAGUUUACCAAUUCGU